GGACUAGUGGCAGAGCGGUUACUGCACCUGGAUCACCUGAGGAUAGUUCGCAGGAAGCUUUCUCCAGGGCACCCUUGUUCGAAUCAAGGCUAGUCCA